UGUACAGAACUUUUUAUAUAUGGAUUUGUCCGAUAAAAAAGAAAACCUAGUUUAUGGGUUUAUUGCAGCGGAACCAGUAUUGAGCAUCCUGGCUUCUCCUCUCAACUUCAUCUCCCUUUCUCAAGAUUAGGGUUCCCGCAGUCGGUGUUCUGUGCCUACCGACCUUAUUUUAUUUUGUGGGUGUUGGAUUGCUGGUAUAUUAUAUAUAUACCCUUAGAUGUGAAGUGUAAUUUUGACCAAAAUGUUUUUGAAAUGAAAUGUAAUUUGGAGUUUUCAAAGUUGCACAGGAUUCACUUGAGCCUCUUUCAUUUGCUUCAACAGAAGAGAAAGGAUUUAAACAAACAGAAUAAAAUAGAAUUGACAAUACAGUAUGAACUCAGAUAUCGGGAGUUACACCGACAAUUCACGCGUUAUGGCCAUGACUGAGUACUGCAUUACUUACCUGAUUUGCAGCGACCAGGUUCUGCACCCACACUUUUUCCUCCUUUUUCAUCAUCUUAAUGGGAUUUUAGUUCAAUUCUUCCCUCGGUGACUGAAAUGGAAACAAAAUUUACAUAAUGUGUUAUUCAUUCAAUUUGUAUUCCUUCAAAAACUUGCCUUGUUGAAGGUAUCAAUCUAAACCUUAACUAUUUUCCAUAUGUGAUUUAAGUGCACUGUACUACAAA